UGUUUUCAUACACCCCUCCUUCUACCUUUUCCUCCCGCCUCAAUCCCUUUCCCCCCUCUCCGCGCCUACAAAUACAUCAGCAUGUCUUUAGUACUGGUCGCGCUGUACAGUCAGCGGAGACGGCGAGCCUCUUAAUAUUCCGGUCACAACCCAGAGAGGGAGGGAGGGAAGGAGGGAGGGAGGAGGAACGAGUAGAGCCGGAUAAAAAAAGGGAGGGUGAAAAGCCACUGAAAAAGAAUUACACUGAGAAGAUGAAAGAGGGAGAGGGAAGAGAAGAGAAGUAAAGGCUAUCCCCGUCGUUCGUCUCUCGCGCCCGGUCUACCCUUCACCACCUCCCCUCUCAGGGAAAGUUUCGGAGCCGACGAGCCACGACCUCCGGGAGCCCUCCCGCCGUCUCCGCGACGCUUAGGAGCGAACGCCAGGAAGACCGGCGCGUUCAGAAGUAAAAAGCAAACAAGGAGCUACGCGACCCAGAAUCCACCUGUGCCGCAGUCCGACGUCACGCUGAGAUUUUAAUCCCAUCAGAUAUUUUAUCUCCCCGGUUCCUGCAGGGCUGCCUCCGAUUCCGCCCUGCCUUUCGGAAAAAAAAACCGGAAAUUGAACGCGUUCGGAUGGCAAAGGGGGCCCGCUCUGGAACGUAGAAGCUCGAAGCGUUCCGGCGAGACUUCGGCGGAAUAAGAACGCGGCGAGCGCGUCCGAGGAGCCGCUCGGCCCGGAGCUAUGACCUGAAGAUCAUGGACGGCCCCGCCCAACAGUGCAUUCUCUCCUAAAACAGACACCCUGCUCUUGGUCCGGGGCGGAAGGGGAGCUGCGCUGCGAUUGGCCGCCUGAGGUGGGGAGUGCGAUGCUGAUUGGAGGAUGUCGGGGGACUGGGAUGAAGACCUGUGCAACAAGGCCCUGGUGCUGGCAGAGGAGCUGUGCUUCCACUCGCCCGGGGGGUACAGCCAGAACGAGCGCUGCCAGGAGCUCAGCGACAUACUGAGGGGCCGACACAGGCAGAUCGACACAGAGAUCUCCGUCAGCCUGCUCUCCGUCAUCGUGACGUUCUGCGGGAUUGUGCUGCUGUCCGUGUCCCUCUUUGUCUCCUGGAAGCUGUGCUGGUUGCCAUGGCGCGACAAGGAGGGCGGCGGCCUGAGCCUGACGUCGGGGCUCCUCCCCGGCGGGGGCGGGCUGGGGGGCGGGGCCUCCCUCCUGCCCCCCCUCCUGCAGAGGAAGGACACGCACUCGCCCUCCUCGCUCUACCCGUCCCUCUCCCAGCCGGCCCAGCACCACCCCCACUUCUCCGACAUGCUGGUGGUGGAGCGGGGCGAGGGCGGGGUCGGGGGCGGAGUCGGGGGCGGGGUCGGGGGCGUGAUCGGCGGCCCGGAGAGGACCCCCGUCGGAGGGGUGGUGGGGGGUCCGCAGGAGACGCAGGAGCACUCGUACCUGGACAUGGACUGCCACUCCAACCCGGCCGGGGGGGGUUUGAAGCUGAGCCAGACCUCCCCGGAGUUGCCCCCGGUGACAGAGACUAGCUCCGCCUCCCAAGCUCACAAAGACCUCCCCAAUGCUCAGUCACAGAUGCAGGUCUCUGCCCGGCCACGCCCCAUGACCCACCAGCUUUCCAGCCCUGAUUUCCAUGGUGAUGAGAAGACUGAACAGGUGACCAGCAUUGGGCAGAUCAAGCCAGAACUAUAUAGACUGCGUCAGGGGGAGCAGGGAGAAGGAAAACAGGGUGACAACUGUGGCAAGAUCAGCUUCCUUUUGCGCUACGCUUUCAACACUGAGCAGCUGGUGGUCAAGAUCCUAAAGGCACUGGACCUCCCGGCCAAAGACGCCAACGGGUUCUCGGACCCGUACGUGAAGAUCUACCUGCUGCCCGACCGAAAGAAGAAGUUCCAGACAAAGGUUCACAGGAAGACGCUAAAUCCCGUCUUCAACGAGACGUUCCAGUUCGGGGUCCCCCUGGCCGAGCUCCACUCCCGGAAGCUGCACUUCUCCGUCUACGACUUCGACCGGUUCUCCCGACACGACCUCAUCGGUCAGGUGGUGGUGGACAACCUGCUGGACUUCAGCGAGGGGACGGGGGAGAAGCCCGUCUGGAGGGACAUCGUGGAGGGGACGGCGGAGAAGGCCGACUUGGGAGAGCUGAACUUCUCUCUCUGCUAUCUGCCGACGGCCGGACGGCUGACCGCCACCGUCAUCAAGGCCACCAAUCUGAAAGCCAUGGACCUCACCGGCUUCUCCGACCCGUACGUAAAGGCCUCACUGAUCUGCGAGGGCCGGAGGAUGAAGAAGAGGAAGACCUCCAUCAAGAAGAACACGCUCAACCCCACCUACAACGAGGCGCUGGUCUUCGACAUCCCCUACGAGAACAUCGACAGCGUGUCCCUCAUCAUCGCCGUCAUGGACUACGACUGCAUUGGUCAUAACGAGGUCAUCGGAAUGUGCCGGGUGGGCAGUGAUGCAGAGGGACCGGGUCGGGAGCACUGGGCGGCCAUGUUGGCCAACCCCCGCAAGCCAAUUGAGCACUGGCACCAGCUGGUGGAGGAGAAGACCAUGAACACGUAUGUGUCCAAGAGCGCCACCGCCUCCUCCAAGCCGCACAUCGUGGUGGACAGCCCCCACUCAGAGUAGAUCUGUGAGUGUUGUGAUUGACAGUGCCCACUGUGAGUAGAUCUGUGAGUGUUGUGAUUGACAGUUCCCACUGACAGUCUCUCUCUCCCAUGCACUGAUUUGUUCUCGUCAUUAACAAAACAUGAAGGUGGAGUAAAUGAGACGACACAUAACUUACACAUAACCGCUACUGUUACAGCUACUACUGCUACUAAUACUAUUCCUCUUCUACUACUACUAUUCUACUGCUACUAUUAUUAACAAUAACAACUUCAAAUCAUUGUGUACAAAUAGGCACCCAGAAGAAUUCAUAUAAAUGCAACAUUGAUGAAUAGAAUGUAGUGGUAAUACCUAGUAAACGUGUUCAGUGUGGACAGACCACCGAUCUCUGUCUCUCUCUCUCUCUCUAACACACACACACACACACACACACACUGUAAAGCUCAGUCACACGUGCACACAUACAUUUAUGAAUAAAUAAGAUGUAAAAAGGAAAAGACUCAUCUCUAUUAAAAAUAGUCACUUUGGAUCUUGAGUCAGUGAAGUGUGUGAUGGACGUCUCCAAUCGACGUGUAAAAACCCGAUCCAUCGGGGGGAAGGACCUGGUGCCCGUUUCUCCCUCCGAAAAAAAAAGUCACCUAUUGGUUUAUUUUGUGAUUCUGCACCAGACAAGUCAAAACUGAUUUCAUUUGUACAGACUUUUAAACAAACUUGUAACAGGACCUUGGGAAAUGCUGUCUUUGCUUCGCUCCUGAACAUUGUCUUACAGACCAAAAGGACCUGAAGGAAUCUCCGUAUAUUUUUUUGGGGGUAGGACAGAUACAAGUGUCGGACCGUGCCGCCAUUUUGGACAGCUUGUACCCCAGCUUUCAGAAUCAGAUCUUUUACUUGGGUAUUUUUCUUGUGUGAACAACAACAACAAAAAAUAUGUUCAGAUUCAGGGAGGGAGAAAUGCGGAUGGACCAAAGCAUGUUGUGCAACCAUGAAAUGUGUCCCCCUGCCUUACACAUUUUUUAAUCACUUUUUUCCUGUGAGCCCGUCAGGUUCAACUAGUAGCUUUUAUUUUUCUAUUAUUUCAUUUUCUAAUUGUCCACUUCAAAGGAUAAAUCUUCAUGCCACUUUUAUAUUUUUCAUUAUGCAGGAAACCUGGAGAUGUGAAUGGAACUGUUUGUGUGUAACAGGGGAAUGUGUCAUUCUUUUUGACAUUAACUGCCAAAUGAAUUAUAUUCAUGAGGAUACCCCAAAGGGAACUAUGGUUGAAACAGCAAUUUUUCGGAAGGACCCAAAUAAGGAUGCAUCUACUUGCUUUUUUUUACGCAGUUCUGGAAAGUGUAUCCUUCAGGAAAGGACUUCAUUGUACAUUAUUAUUAUUUUGGCGUCAUUCUUUGCUUUUUUUAUCUUCACUUCAAAAGAAGCAAUCUGUAAUUCAACUAGUAUCUGAGGGGGAUAGAUGUGACCAAAAGGACACGCUCAUGUUUUGUGUUGCCUUCGUUUGUGUGUGUUUCCGUGUUUGUUGGCGUGUUUGUGUACUUCGUAUGCGUCCGUGCGUGUGCCCGUGUCUCUGAUUGUCACCGUGACAACUAUGUGUCCUUCCCCGCCCUCCUCUCACCCUCCCACCUGGUGGUCCAUAAAUUUCAAAACGUCUUGAAAACAAAGUGUGUCUUCUGUUCCAUUCUGUCUUAGAAUAAGCGUUUGUAUGUAGGAGCCAUUAACUGUAGCGAGAAGUGAGAGGGAAGAGAUUGUUGUCCUGGCUGUUCUUUGAUGGCAUUGCCCCUGUCCAUUUCACAAAAGUGUAUACGCUGUGUACUUAUGUUAAUAUAUGUAUAUGUGUGAGAGGGAAUUGCUUGAGCGUCAGGGGAAUAAAUGCCUGGAUACUUCUUAGUGAUCGAUAAAAAAACAUCUGAACAACAUCGCCAAGGCUGAGCGCCGACUGCAGGCACAGAUAGAAAGAUGGUGGAGAGAGGAAGGCUUCAACACGGAGAGAGGAAGAUAAACAGGGAAGGGGAUGCCUCUUACGCACAGUCAGGUGAAGAUACAUGGUGAAGAGAAUGAAGGUUAAGCACAGUUAGAGGAAGAUGCAUAAGGAUGGGAAUAAAGGUAACAGUGAGAUGAAUAUAGAUGGGGAAGAGAAUAAAGGUUAUGCACAGCGAGAGGAAGAUAAAUGGGGAAGAGAAUAAAGGUAAUGCACAGUGAGAAGAAGACACAUGAGGAAGAGAAUAAAGGUUACACAGUAAAAUGACGAUAGAUGGGGAGGAGAAUAAAGGUUACGCACAGUGAGAGAAAGAUAAAUGGGGAAGAGAAUAAAGGUAAUGCACAGUGAGAGAAAGAUACAUGGGGAAGAGAAUAAAGGUUACGCACAGUGAGAGGAAGAUACAUGGGGAAGAGAAUAAAAGGUUACACACAGUGAGAAGAUAAAUGGGGAAGAGAAUAAAGGUUACGCACAGUUAGAGGAAGAUAAAUGGGUAAGAGAUUAAAGGUUACACACAGUGAGAGGAAGAUAAAUGGGGAAGAGAAUAAAGGUUAUGCACAGUGAGAGGAAGAUACAUGGGGAAGAGAAUGAAGGUUACACACAGUGAGAGGAAGAUAAUGGGGAAGAGAAUAAAGGUGAUGCACAGCGAGAGGAAGAUAAAUGGGGAAGAGAAUAAAGGUAAUGCACAGUGAGAGGAAGAUAAAUGGGGAAGAGAAUAAAGGUUACGCACAGUGAGAAAGAUAAAUGGGGAAGAGAAUAAAGGUUACGUACAGUGAGAGGAAGAUACAUGGGGAAGAGAAUAAAGGUUACGCACAGUUAGAGGAAGAUAAAUGGGUAAGAGAAUAAAGGUUACACACAGUGAGAGGAAGAUAAAUGGGGAAGAGAAUAAAGGUGACGCACAGCGAGAGGAAGAUAAAUGGGGAAGAGAAUAAAGGUAAUGCACAGUGAGAGGAAGAUAAAUGGGGAAGAGAAUAAAGGUGACGCACAGCGAGAGGAAGAUAAAUGGGGAAGAGAAUAAAGGUUACGCACAGUGAGAGGAAGAUACAUGGGGAAGAGAAUAAAGGUUACGCACAGUGAGAGGAAGAUACAUGGGGAAGAGAAUAAAAGGUUACACACAGUGAGAAGAAGAUAAAUGGGGAAGAGAAUAAAGGUGACGCACAGCGAGAGGAAGAUAAAUGGGGAAGAGAAUAAAGGUAAUGCACAGUGUGAGAAAGGUAGAUGAGGAAGAGGAUAAGUGUAACAUUGGGAAAAACCACUAUUAAAACAAUGCCAGUCACCGUAACCAUCACUAAUGUUUUCUCUGAAGACGGUACUUUCCUAAAUCACCAAAAUCACCAUCAGUACUGUCAGUGCUACUGCUGUUGGUACUGCCCUUCCCAGCGCUAAUACUGCCAGCUGUUUCACUGUUUUCAUCACUGAUAACCUUAUUACAGCUGCUACUGCCAUAAUCUCUACUAAUACAUCUACUGUUACCCCUUUGAUCAUCAGGCCUAAUACCUGUGCUACAACCCUGCCGCAGUUACUAUGCCACAAUUAAUAACAUCAUUACUAAUACUGUAACAUAAUCUAAUAUAGUAAUAUAUACUAACAUACAUCUAAUAUUACUACUACUGAUACUACAUCUAAUGUCAUUACCAAGACUGGUAUUACAUCUCAUGUAACUAGCACUGUUAUUACAUGUAACACCAUUAAUAAUAAUGCUACUUAAUCUAAUAUUACUAAUACUGACACUACAGCUAACAUCACUACUAAUAAUGUGUCACCAUCUGCUGUAAUUAGUAAUACCGUUACAACGUCUAACAUUACUUAUACUGAUACUACAUCAAAUAUUCCUUAAUGCUACUACAUCUAAUAUCAUUACGAGCACUGGAACUACUUCUAACAUCAUUGCUAUAGCUGGGUGUUUGUCACGGAUUUUGUUAUAUUUGAGUCUUUUUUAUUUUUUAUUUCCCCAUCUUUCCGGGAAUUCAUGAAUUGUGACCUCUGUAAAUGUUGUAACUGAAAUAAAGGAAAUUUCAUGGUUUUGA